CUCCUUAAAUUUUCACUUGCAACUUGCGUUUGAUGGAUGGCCUGUGACCAAGUGAAUGAAUGAAUGUUGGGGAAGACUGAUAUUGUGGAAUUCAAAAGGUAGCAGAGAUGCUGUGCUUUACCUAGCGAGCAGUUUUAGGAGGAUCACAGCCUUCAAGGGCUGAGCAUGUGAGGGUCCGACUCAAUGGCUGUGGAGUCUGACAGGACGGCGGGAGGCUGAGAGGGAAACAGAGGUGCCCUCGUCUCUCCCAGGGUCUGGUAACAAAGCCCUUCGCUAGGGCUGUAAGUGCUUGAUGUCGUUACUCAUCUUAAUUUCAAAUUCGUUCUUUACUCGAAUCAGUCACACCUCGUGUGUCAGCAGCACCACACAAUACCACUGGUCUCCAGGCCUUCCCGGAGGUCAUAUCUUGGCAGCACUUCCCGCUGACUUGCAAUUAUCUUCACCUGCCUUUUAAAAAGGCACUUGCAAAGGAAAUUCAUCGUAAGGAGGAAGAAACGGUCACUCCGUAGUCGCAUUCUCGUAUUCUCGCGAGACGAUCGCAAACCAAAGUGGUGCCUCGAAGGAGCUUCGUUCAGCAAAGCGGCCUCAGUGCAAUUCCAUGCACAUUUAUGGAGCUCAUUCUCUGCGUGGGACACUGUGAUAGAGACUCUCUGAGCCUCAAGGAUAAAUGAGUCCUAGGCCUCAUCUUUCAGGUGGAAACACUGUAGUGGGGACUAAGAUAUGAACGAGCCAUCAGCCUGUGAGGUGUACAAAAACAGAUAAUUUCAAUACCUGAUGUUGGGGGCUUAGGCAGAGAAUCACACGGCACACGGUACCGGCAGUCGACCCAGGACAUGGAUAGCCCAGCAGAGGGUUUGAAAGGCUUCUGGAAGAAAUAACUGCUCUUCUAGGCCUUGAAGCAUGGACGGAAUCUCCCCAUCCCCUGUGAAGAUCUUACUAUUCCAUCUCUCUUCUCUACUGGAUGAUGAAAACUGAACCUCACCAGCAGGCAAAGAGGAUCCAGGCAAAGAGGACACUGAAGAAGGGAGAGAUGUUUACUGGUUGUUCAAGUCUGGGCUUCUGGAAGUCUUGUUAAAGAUUUUACUGUGCUCGUGGAGACUUCUUUCCCUAAUGCGGGGUGUCCCAUUCUCAGGUCUUCAGGAAUGUUUUUCUUGCUUAUUGCAGGACUCCUCCAGUUAGAUUCUGACUUGCUGUCACUCUUCAUAACCAGCAAUCGGCCCUCUACUGAUGACCUCACUUCUCAUGUGCUGUCACCUGUUGUUAUGACCGUGGUACUCCCCAAUUAGAGACCAACUCAGACCCACAUCCAUGUGCCUUGCAUAACCAGAACCUUAAACUUUUCUCAGCACCACAGACCUUUCUAGGUUCCAGCACUUACUUGCAUAUGGUCUGGGACAACUCACAGCACUAGAACCUGGUUAUGAUAGUCAUGAGUGGCCACACUUAGGUGGAAUGAACCAUGUAGAAAGGGCCCUACUCUAAGGAAGAUACGGGCCACACAUGGAACUGUGAUAUGAAUGGCCUUUGCGGACCCUCCCAAAACCCAAGAUUCUGUGGUAUUUUCAGAUACAACGUAAAGUCACAAAUCCUGGGUUCCUUCUUAGGGAAUCACUUUGAAAGCAAACAUUUA